UACGUAGGGUGCGAGCGUUGUCCGGAAUUAUUGGGCGUAAAGAGCUCGUAGGCGGUCUGUCGCGUCGAAUGUGAAAACCCGGGGCUCAACUCCGGGCUUGCAUUCGAUACGGGCAGGCUAGAGUUCGGUAGGGGAGUCUGGAAUUCCUGGUGUAGCGGUGAAAUGCGUAGAUAUCAAGAGGAACACCUGAGGUGAAGACGGGUUGCUGGGCUGAUACUGACGCUGAGGCGCGAAAGCUAGGGUAGCAAACGGG
rnacentral:rRNA from 1 species